GUCACCAACGGGAGCACCAGGAAGAGGAAGAAUGGGUGGUGGGGUUGGGGUAGAACCAUGGUGUUGCCACCAUGGUCGCCGGGCAACCAGGCUGCAGGACUCAGGUCUGCACAGGCCUCAGAAAACCAAAAUGUUCUGACUGAAUGGAAUGGAAACUGAAAAUGAGGAUACAGAACGUGUUAAUUACUGGGCUCUGUAUACGUGAUGGACCAGAAGGCAAAAAGCAUUGCAAAAUAUCUGCGUCCAGAGACCCACCCUUCUAAGGAAUGCCUUAAAGAAUCCCGGGGAGGAAGCUGGCAGGUUAAUUAAAUCCUGCUGAAUUUAACAAA